UACAGUCAUAACAUGUUAAAACACCGGUUCUCUUACGAUCACCGAAGUUAAGCAACGUCAGGCCCGGUCAGUGCCUAGAUGGGUGACCGCUUUGGAAUACCAGGUGUUGUAA